GGACAGGCUAUAAUGGAUACCCCAUUGGCAUAUUAUAUGGAAACUUGCCCUGGCAAGGGAGAAGAAGGUGAAGAACUGGAUUUGCAAAAUGGGAAUUUGUUGUCCAUGCUGAAACAAAUGCUCUCCUGUACAGGUCAAAACCCCAAAUAGAAGAGACUGAUGUUCUUUACUGUACCAAACUUCCCUGUCCUGACUGUCAGAGCCUUAUAAAGGAGGUGGGAAUAAGGAAAAUUUGUUAUGUACAAGAAUCAUCAACACAGAAUGAAGAAGUAUGUUUACAUUAUAUUAUUUGUUUAUUG
rnacentral:lncRNA from 1 species